rfam:Candidatus Woesebacteria bacterium RIFCSPLOWO2_01_FTLL_39_25 rifcsplowo2_01_scaffold_16034, whole genome shotgun sequence.
GGGCGUGUGGCUCAGUGGUAGAGCGCUUUCCUGAUAAGAAAGAGGUCCUUGGUUCGAUCCCAAGCACGCCCA